CCUCCUUGUCUGGCUGUUCUGCUGCUGCUCCUGACUUCUCCUUUCCCUCCUUCUCACGGCGGCCAGCGCUCCAGAGGUUGCGGGGCUGGUGGAGGUCACAUGAAGGGAAACAGGCUGGGUCUCACCCGCGAGCACAGGAAGUGGAGCAGAAGCGCUUGGACCGCAUGAAGUUGUGUGCGUGGCCCCUCUUCCCGCAGAACUGACAGUGCAGCACAGUCCGGUCUCUGUGGCCCGCCCCUGUAGGAGACACACCUGAACAAAUAGGUGUGCGGGGGUGCUCACCUGAGCAGAGGCGGGGUUAGAGGAAGGGAGAGAGGAGGAAGAGGAGGACGGUGCAGGUCGCAUAGCAGACGUAAGGAUCAGCUGCACAGAAGUCAGGAGAAGCAGGAGAAAAGAGGACAAAAAAGCGAGGAAGUCAGUUUUCUUCACAAACUAAGAGACGGCUGGGAAGUGACCCAUUCACCCUCUCAUUUCAUCACAAUUACCCUCAUGUCAAAACUGAGUGGGUACAUUUUAGAGACAGCUCAGGUUCCAUCGCUCUGAAUUUACAUAAAAACCACCUCAAUUUCAACCCCCUGCUCCAAAUUACAGAUAAAACACGUCUGUCCGUGCCUGAGAGCAGCUCAAAGUUCAUCACAGAGUAAACAGUCAGGGGCUGAAGAUGUGAAAGGCUCCCAGAUGAAAGCAAGCACAGAGGAAACGGCAACCCCAAACAGACACUGACCCAGACAGACACAAAGUGCUGCCAGCUCCGCCUUCAUCUUCAAGGACAACUGUUGGUUCCAUCUCAGAGCUUCACAACCCCACCAAGAAAUACCAAUAAAAACAUCUUUCCUGCUUCUGACUGAGAAACACACAACAUCAGUGUUCAAAUUUGCCAUUAAGGGGUUAAAUCUCUGUGUUUUUCAAAGCACCACAGUCAUGCAGCACAGAGGUUUUCCUUUGCAGCUGCAGCAGACACUGAGUGGAGACAAAGAUCGAGAGGCGAGCUAACCCUUCUCUGAUCUGGGUCUGUGACAUUACACAAACCAGAACAUCUGAGAGGCUCGUCUAAGAGGAUCCGAGACAAGAUCAUUGUUUGUACGAUCCAGACACUUAAAUAAAUGUUUCACGAAGCGGAAUUUUUUUUUCUUCAUUUAUGUUUUCCAGAGAAGAAAUGAAUCGCUGAGACUUUAGCCCAACACCUACAGUCCCAAACAGAUUAAUGUCAGAAAAGCUUUGUCCUGCAAAACUGUAAAAAAUCACAAGUAUAGUUGCUUAAUUUCUUCUCAAAUUAACUUUUCAUACCUAUUAAAGAAUAUCGUGAUUUAACAACUAACAUUCCGCUACACAGAAUGAAUCAUUAUAGAACAAUUUUACCUCAAAUCAUUUGUUGUUCACCUUUUGGACAUGUCAAUCAGCAAUCAGCUUUCACUGAUUCACACAGGUGGUUUGGCAGAAAUGCCCUUCAUGACACACCCCUGUAUUUUUUAAGGCACAGGGAUACCAUUUUUUAAUUUGUAUUUUUAAAUUGUAUUUUUACAGAAAUUAUUAAACUUUGUCCCUUUUCAGUUAAGGCUUGUUUCUUUUCUCUUUAGUUUUGUGAAUGUUUUUAAAUUCUACAAAGAAAGUUCUAUGUCAGGACAUGCAGGACAUGAACUAUGUCAAACUUUUCAGUUGUCCAUAGAUCACAAAUAUAUGUUUGGAAAGUAAAAUAAGACAAAACGUUUUUAUGGUCAAAUAGAUGUUUUGAACAUUCAGAAAUCCCAUAUGCUUUAAUAAAUGUGCACGUAAUUGGGAAAACAAUAAAAAUGUGUUCAUAUUUUGUAAAA